rnacentral:rRNA from 1 species
UCAGGUAGGGAUACCCGCUGAACUUAAGCAUAUCAAUAAGCGGAGGAAAAGAAACCAACAGGGAUUACCUCAGUAACGGCGAGUGAAGCGGUAACAGCUCAAAUUUGAAAGCUGGCUCUUUUAGGGUUCGCGUUGUAAUUUGUAGAAGAUGCUUCGGGUGUGGCCCCGGUCUAAGUUCCUUGGAACAGGACGUCAUAGAGGGUGAGAAUCCCGUAUGUGACUGGGUGCUUUCGCUCAUGUGAAGCUCUUUCGACGAGUCGAGUUGUUUGGGAAUGCAGCUCAAAAUGGGUGGUAAAUUUCAUCUAAAGCUAAAUAUUGGCCAGAGACCGAUAGCGCACAAGUAGAGUGAUCGAAAGAUGAAAAGCACUUUGGAAAGAGAGUUAAACAGUACGUGAAAUUGUUGAAAGGGAAGCGCUUGCAACCAGACUUGCGCGCUGAUGAUCAUCCGGGCUUCUGCCCGGUGCACUCGUCUGCGCUCAGGCCAGCAUCGGUUUCGGUGGUGGGAUAAAGGCCUUGGGAAUGUGGCUCCUCUCGGGGAGUGUUAUAGCCCUCGGUGCAAUGCC